GCUGCAAAAACAAAAACAAGCAAACAAACAACAAAUAACUUGAAAAUAGGCUUGUCAAAUGAUGUAAAUUCAUCCUUUCCAGGGAAGCAGAAG
rnacentral:sRNA from 1 species